AGUGGCGAACGGGUGAGUAAUGCAUCGGAACGUGCCCAGUCGUGGGGGAUAACGCAGCGAAAGCUGCGCUAAUACCGCAUACGAUCUAUGGAUGAAAGCGGGGGACCGUAAGGCCUCGCGCGAUUGGAGCGGCCGAUGUCAGAUUAGGUAGUUGGUGGGGUAAAGGCUCACCAAGCCAACGAUCUGUAGCUGGUCUGAGAGGACGACCAGCCACACUGGGACUGAGACACGGCCCAGACUCCUACGGGAGGCAGCAGUGGGGAAUUUUGGACAAUGGGCGCAAGCCUGAUCCAGCAAUGCCGCGUGCAGGAAGAAGGCCUUCGGGUUGUAAACUGCUUUUGUACGGAACGAAACGGCUCUGGUUAAUACCUGGGGCUAAUGACGGUACCGUAAGAAUAAGCACCGGCUAACUACGUGCCAGCAGCCGCGGUAAUACGUAGGGUGCAAGCGUUAAUCGGAAUUACUGGGCGUAAAGCGUGCGCAGGCGGUUUUGUAAGACAGGCGUGAAAUCCCCGGGCUCAACCUGGGAAUGGCGCUUGUGACUGCAAAGCUGGAGUGCGGCAGAGGGGGAUGGAAUUCCGCGUGUAGCAGUGAAAUGCGUAGAUAUGCGGAGGAACACCGAUGGCGAAGGCAAUCCCCUGGGCCUGCACUGACGCUCAUGCACGAAAGCGUGGGAGCAAACAGGAUUAGAUACCCUGGU
rnacentral:rRNA from 1 species